rnacentral:rRNA from 1 species
GUGAACGAGCGACGCCGCGUGUGCGAUGAAGGCCUUCGGGUUGUAAAGCACUGUCGGGGGGGAGAAAAGGCAACCUGAUCGACCCCCGGAGGAAGCUCGGGCUAAGUUCGUGCCAGCAGCCGCGGUAAGACGAACCGAGCGAACGUUGUUCGGAAUCACUGGGCUUAAAGGGCGCGUAGGCGGGUCCGCAAGUCAGGGGUGAAAUCCUCCAGCUCAACUGGAGAAGUGCCCUUGAUACUGCGGGCCUCGAGGGGGGUAGGGGCGUGCGGAACUUCCGGUGGAGCGGUGAAAUGCGUAGAUAUCGGAAGGAACACCGGUGGCGAAAGCGGCGCGCUGGACCCCAUCUGACGCUGAGGCGCGAAAGCCAGGGGAGCAAACGGGAUUAGAUACCCCGGUAGUCCUGGCCCUAAACGAU